GUAGAACCAAGAAGUGACAGGAUAAUGCAGCAUGAGACCAUCGGCUGUCCACUAACACUUGAGACUCGAGAUGAUGAUGCAGGUACGGUCGUGCUUAUGGCUUAUGACUCUCUUUCCUCUGGUCCAGAGGAUGGAGUGAGCGGCUGGUGGAUGCUAGAAGUAAGGGAGCAUGACCAUGACUGUGCUUGUGACUUCUGCGCAUAUACAGCACCAUAAGGUGUUUGGCGUAUUUUUGUUAUUCUAAUACAGAAUUGUGGAUGGUAUACUUUUGGACUUAUUACUUAUAAGUCAUGGAUGAUUGUAAUGGAAUAACUUGGUUAUAUAUAUAUAUAUAUAUGAUAUCACUAGAUGUUCCUCAUUUUAUUUA